rnacentral:lncRNA from 14 species
CGGGGCUCAAGUUUGCUCGUGGGGUGCUGCCCACGGGCUCUCUGCAGCGGCAGCAACCAGGAAGACCGAAAUGGCAGUUUCUCUUCUCAUCCUGGACAGGCACCGGGUGCCGGGAAAGGAAAGCAGAUGGGAAAGUUAGAAGAAUCCUCCCGUGCCUGCAGCCUUUCUUCUGGCCUCUAACCUAAAGAAAACAACCCUUGAGCCUAAGAAACUGGUCCCACUUCAUGCCUACCUGUGCCCUCCCUACCUUUAUGAAGACAUCUGGGAGAAUCUUCACAUCUAUUGCCAUCAGGGAAGGCAUACCGGAGCUGGGAGUCUGUGUGACUUUUCUUAAAUUAAGUGAGUGUGAAAAGAAGAGGGUUAAGGUCCAGUUUGAAUCAAACACUUCCUAUGUGAGAGUCCUGUGGAUUUCAUGAUG